CCACGACCUCUCAGAUCUGGCUCUACGUUGUCCUCAUUGUACAUGCUGUGUGUAUUUGCCACGUACACAGCGCAUGCAAUGUGGACAUAAUGGAGCUCAGCUGACGCCCAGCAAGAU
rnacentral:precursor_RNA from 7 species